rnacentral:lncRNA from 1 species
AUUAUAUUCUUUACGGUUCUUUGCCUUUUCCCUUCUUUAUGACCAAUGUGAUACUGUUAACGCAAGUGAAAAAUUUCCUGCAGGAGUGGCUUAAGAAUAUCAAGAUCAGGUAGGAGGGACCCCACCCCUUCGUCUCCUAGAGCUUCGUCAAGAUCACCAUCCCCAUCACGACUUCAGGCAGUUGAACUUGGAACUUUAGACCCUGUUUUAUCCACGAGCGGUUACAGGUCGGAUGAUACGCAUUCAGAGACUUCAGAGACGCAAAGAACUUCAGGUCUUCGUCAAGACAGCAAUAGAACGUCUCCGUCUAGAGCUGCGUCAAGAUCACCAUCCCCAGCACGACUUCAGGCACCUACAGUUGGAGAAAUAGGCACGGAUGACAUCCUUCUUCGUCUUCAGAUUGUUCCAAUUGAUGUAAUGCCUGAUGUUGGCGUGAAAAAGGGUGCUGAAGUCACCGUCGACCCACAACCUCAGGAGGAGACCUUGCAACUUUUCACAACGGAAAAACACUACAAUCGCGUCACAUUACUCAACGCACUCAGAUGGGUCAAUUACCAUUUGUAUGACACAGUAGCAGGGCCGCCAUUGCUUCUGGAAAUAAGUUCUAGUAAGUUAGAAACAAGUUGAGACCCUCAAAUAACAGUGGCGUGGUGUGCUUUGCGAAUCGAUUGAUCUGUCAUUUAAACCUAUGAAAAA